AGUCUGCGGGCAGGAAGAGAUGGCAGCGGGGGAGACACAGCUCUACGCCAAGGUUACCAGCAAGCUCAAGGGCCGCAGCUCCUCCGCGCUCCUGGAGCCCCUCCUGGACAUGGGCUUCCCGGCCCACACCGCGUGGCUCAGAGCACUUACUUCCUGUGCGAGGGGUGAACCGCGCAGGGCCAGAGACCUGCUCCAAGUGAGGCCCGUUCUGCUUUUAUGAAGGACACGACCUUCGCUUUUUAAAGACAAACUCUUCUGGCUGGUGAUGGGGGCCCCGUGACAUCUGGGAAAUGGGAGCCAGGGUGUGGGGGGACUUGGGGCCUGGCUGCCCCCCUCGGUGGUCAGCUCAGCGAACCUGAGACGGCCUUGCAGACUCGAAUUCGAAAGCCCCAAAGUCGGGUGGGCCUCUUGAAAUCCGCCAGAAUGUGCUUCUCUCGGUGCGAAGGGAGAGCCCUUGUCUUUGAGGGGAAGCUCCCGGAUGUCUGAUGAUGUAAAAAAGGGUCAAGGACCUCCCCGAGCAGGUGGACACGACCCACUUAUCCAAGGAGGAGGUGCACCCAGAGACCCCUCAACCUCGCGAGUUACCCUUUCGGAGACAGAGGGGCAUCCCCAAACUAUGAGCUUUCAGACCAACACCCGGUCACAGCUUCCACGGGGAACCAGUUCCUUAGAUCAGGUCCUUUUCACAUGCUCAUUCGUCUGGGAACUACAUCGGAGGCCUCCUGAUGUGACCUUGCACUUGGGAGGGGGGCAAACGCGCCUUAAACAGGUUAACGAACCCCUGUGACCCAGCUGCUGGAGUGCCUGAGGCUGGACCCCUUUGCUCCCUAACCCGCACUGGGGCUCUGUCCUCACGUUCUGCUCACACUGAGCGGGGGGCUGUGAGCUCGAAAGGAAACAAGGCAUGGGCAGGGUGCGGAGGGGGACCCCGAGGCUGGAGGGGGCAGGGGGUGCAAAAGGGGGGCUGAAACCCCCUCUCCUCACCUCUAGAGCCCACACUUUGCCAUGUGGCCAAAGCUGCCGUUGAAAGCACACCCCAAGCCCCUUCCAAUUUAAACAUCAGCUGUGUGCUGGGUGGAGAAGCAUGUUUUAAAUGUGACCCUUAGGCUGGAGCACCAGGUAAAGCUUCCAAUGAGCUCUCCAGGGGCCUCCCCACUUCAGGCAUCCAGCGAAGUGGGUUCCUGAUCAGCUCCAGCAAUUUCCAGGCUGAAUGCCUCCACCAAACUCCACUGGGCCCAAUCUGGUCCCCUUCGGUUAAGCUCCAUCCAAUGUGCACGUGUCCUGGUCUCAUUGACAAGUAAGACUCGGGCCCGGGGAGCUGGCAGACGGAUCGGAGGGCGGUCCAUUGAGAUGGGGGCCUGGCGACCUCACGGGCAGCGAGGAGACACAGAGGGGCUGCACGGCCCCCCUACCUGGGCAUUUGGGGUGGGCUUUCUGGAAGAGGGACACCAGAGAGCCACCUCCCUCAGGGUGUGUUGAUGCCAGGCGGCUUCUUGGCCAGUAGGCAUGUGUGCCAGCCAGGGACACGGCCCUGAUGGCUGCCUAAGGUUGCCUAAGGCAGCUUCUAAUGUAUUCCCCACGCGAACUCAAGGGUCUGAGAGGAGGGCCACCUGGCUGUGGGGAGGGGUUGGGUCAGGGAGGUGGGAUUCAGGCAUGGGUGGACUCAGGACAUGAGCCCUUGCUCUCCGUUCCAUGGACGAAGGUGGGGGCCAGGGAAGCAGGGGGGCAGGGGCCAGAUGUGAGCGUCCACAUUUCCAAACUCACAGCGAUGCCACCAGAGGCCAGAGGCCUGGGUGCUGCUCCCCGAGGAGAGGUCUCGCCCACCAGCCCCCAGUGGGGGAUCGGGGGGCUGAAGGUCCCAUGUCCUGCACAGACACCCCGCUCAAGGCACUGGCAGCUACGGGGAGGAAGACGGUGGAGGAGGCAUCAGACUGGUGAGUGGGGCACCGGUAGGGCGGUGAGGUCUCUGCGCAGUGGACCCUCUGGGCGGCCGGGGCAGAGCGGAAGGAGGAAAGAACCCGUGUUUGAAUGGACAGCAAAAGAGAGAGAAUGUCUGAAGCCUUCCGUAACCCGAAUGUGGCUGGCGGGGGGCCAGGGGGGGGGUUGCUGACCAAAUGAGGAAGAGCCAUGUCGCAGAUACGAUGACCCCGAGUCACCACUAUCUCUGCCUCUGAUGGGGACGGGCCUUGCGGGGGGCCGGGCGUAUGUCCCUUAAGUCCCCACAUGUGGCACCUUGAGGGAGCCUGCUGCUUCGGGCAGGGGAGCCCUAGGCUAGGGUCCAAGUGGCUCUGCCACCGCCAGGUCUGCGACCCUGCCAGCUGCCCCCUGCUACCAGCCUGGGAUUUCUGCCCUGGGCCUCCAAGAGGGCACCCCCUCCCUGAAACCCAGCCCUGCCCGCGUGGGCCGUGACGCCACUGUCCUGCCCCAAGGGGAAGUCCCCUCACGCUCUAACCCAGAAGAGCUGCGACGAAAAACACGCAAAAAACCCAGGUCCCGCCAGGCUGGGGUGCCCGCCCCAGAGCAGGAUGGUCGUCACUGGCACUGGGUCCCUGUGUGCCCAGCGAGUCUUCAGUGGGGACUCCCACCCGCUCCAGAAACUCUAGGCCAAGGGCAAACAUUCAACCCUGGUACGGACAAGGGGGGACACCCAGGACCAUCCAGCCUAGGCGAGCUCCAAGGUCAGUUGCCAAACUUGAACUAAAAACCAAACCCAGGAUUUCCGUUGCUGUUCUGGGGGUGAAGAACCCAACUAGCAUCCAUGAGGACGCGGGUUCCAUCCCUGGCCUUGCUCAGUGGGUUAAGGAUCUGGCAUUGCUGUGAGCUGUGGUGUAGGUUACAGAUGCGGCUCAGAACCCAUGGCUGUGGCUGUGGGGUAGGCCAGAAGCUGCAGCUCCGAUUCGACCCCUAGCCUGGGAACUUCCCCAUGUGCCAUGGGUACAGCCCUAAAAAAACCCACAGUGCUUCCAGGGCUGGGGUUGGUCCUGGUAGCAGUGAGUCAGCCAGAAAGCCCAGCAGCCCUGCCAGGAACAGGGAGAGAGUGGGUGCCCUGGACUCUGCUAGAGCGGACCCAACCCCACUCCUGAGCAGGGAGCUGCAGAUUCGGAUGCUGUUAACCACAAGGGCAGCCUCAAGGUGGAGAUGGGGGGCUCUUACUUUCCCAGUCGCCAUCUGGGGGUGACUAUCCACCCAGCAAAUGUGUGCCCCCGCUGCCCAGCGGUUCGCAUCCAAGUUCAUUCCCUGGAGAAAUGCAAAGGGCCUAAAAAGACACGUGCAAAAUCUUGAUCACGGUGCUCUGAUAGUUUUUAAAAAGAAAACUAUUUCCAGGCCCAUCAAAGGCAUGUGGAUGGGUGAAAUGUUACACAUGCAGAUGACGGAAUGUUACGUAGCUCUUAGAAGGCUCACUCGGGGAGUGACGGUGUGGCUCAGUGGUAACAGACCGACUACCAUCCAUAAGGAUGUAGGUUCGAUCCCUGGCCCCGCUCGGUGAGUCAAGGAUCCGGCGUUGCCGUGAGCUGGGGUGUAGGUCACAGACGUGGCUCGGAUCUGGCAUUGCUGUGACUGCGGUGUAGACCAGCAGCUGCAGCUCCGAUUGGACCCCCAGCCUGGGAACUUCCAAACGCCAAG
rnacentral:lncRNA from 1 species